rnacentral:rRNA from 1 species
CCUACGGGUGGCUGCAGUGGGGGGUAUUGCACAAUGGGGGGAACCCUGAUGCAGCGACGCCGCGUGGGUGAAGGAGCGUUUCGGCGCGUAAAGCCCUAUCGGCAGGGAAGAAGAUGACGGUACCUGACCAAGAAGCCCCGGCUAACUACGUGCCAGCAGCCGCGGUAAUACGGAGGAUGCGAGCGUUAUCCGGAUUUAUUGGGUUUAAAGGGUGCGUAGGCGGAGCGUUAAGUCAGUGGUCAAAUUGAGGGGCUCAACCCCUUCCCGCCAUUGAAACUGGCGCUCUUGAGUGGAAGAGAAGUAUGCGGAAUGCGUGGUGUAGCGGUGAAAUGCAUAGAUAUCACGCAGAACCCCGAUUGCGAAGGCAGCAUGCCGGCUUCCGACUGACGCUGAAGCACGAAAGCGUGGGGAUCGAACAGGAUUAGAUACCCGGGUAGUC